ACACCUCAACUCUCAUGGUUUGCCAUGAUGAGUUUGGACUUUGGAGGUCUUGCUGGCUGUGGUCAGCUCCUCUCGAAUAGAUCAGCUUGCCAGUGUUUGGUGGCAUCACAGGUGUGAUAACUAUCUACGCUUGUGGUUUUCUACCAAAUAACCUUCAGUGAUGGAGGUUCGCUGGAGCUAAUAAAUGUCUCUCCUCAGUGAGGACAGCUUUUCAAAC
rnacentral:misc_RNA from 1 species